UUGAGUUAUGAUUAUGUCAAAAUUAACGCAGAGUACACAACAUGAAACAGGACGCGUUACUCAAAGAUUGAAGUCUCUUCCUAAUAAAGCAGCUGUGGCUCAAGCCAAAUUAUCGGUUCUAUAGUUGUAAUACUGAUGGAACCAGCAAAAUUUUGCUAGAUUGACAGGGACUUUUCAAGUUGUUAUUUCAUCAUUUCACACAUCUGGUAAACUAGAAGCUCGUAUGACAUGUAUUUUAA
rnacentral:misc_RNA from 1 species